CACCAGAGCCACAAGUGGCAAUCACUUUUAUUGGGCUUAAAGGGUCCGUAGCCGAUCUGAUAAAUUUCUUGUGAAAUCGUCUGCCUUAAUCAGACGGACUGCAAGAAAGACUGUUAGGUUAGAGACCGGGAAGAGACAGAGGUAUUCUUUGGGGAGCGGUAAAAUGUUUUAAUCCUUAGAGGACCACCAAUGGCGAAGGCAUCUGUCUAGAACGGGUCUGACGGUGAGGGACGAAAGCUGGGAGAACGAUAGGGAUUAGAUACCCGCGUA
rnacentral:rRNA from 1 species